rnacentral:rRNA from 1 species
AUUGAACGCUGGCGGCAGGCUUAACACAUGCAAGUCGAGCGAGCGGCGGACGGGUGAGUAAUGUCUGGGAAACUGCCUGAUGGAGGGGGAUAACUACUGGAAACGGUAGCUAAUACCGCAUACAAUCAGAUGUGCCCAGAUAGGAUUAGCUAGUAGGUGGGGUAAUGGCUCACCUAGGCGAUGAUCCCUAGCUGGUCUGAGAGGAUGACCAGCCACCCGGGAACUGAGACACGGUCCGGACUCCUACGGGAGGCAGCGCUGGGGAAUAUUGCACAAUGGGCGCAAGCCUGAUGCAGCCAUACCGCAAGUGUGAAGAAGGCCUUCGGGUUGUAAAGCACUUUCAGCGAGGAGGCGUUACUCGCAGAAGAAGCACCGGCUAACUCCGUGCCAGCAGCCGCGGUAAUUC